rnacentral:rRNA from 1 species
AAAUCCACUGAUCCCGGGAGGACCACCAGUGGCGAAGGCGGCCGCCCAGACACGCCGACGGUGAGGGACGAAAGCUGGGGAGCGAUCGGGAUUAGAUACCCCGGUAGUCCCAGCCGUAAACGAUGCGGGCUUGGUGUCGGGCUGGCCACGAGCCAGCCCGGUGCAGAAGGGAAACCAUUAAGCCCGCCGCCUGGGGAGUACGGCCGCAAGGCUGAAACUUAAAGGAAUUGGCGGGGGAGCACCACAAGGGGUGGACGUUGCGGCUUAAUUGGAGUCAACGCCGGAAACCUUACCGGGGGCGACAGCAGGAUGAUGGCCAGGUUAAAGGCCUUGCCUGACGAGCUGAGAGGAGGUGCAUGGCCGUCGCCAGUGCGUGCCGUGAGGUGUCCUGUUAAUUCAGGCAACGGACGAGACCCGCGCCCCCAGUUGCGACCGGGCCGGAAGGCGCCGAGCACUCUGGGGGGACUGCCCCGGAAACGGGGAGGAAGGAGCGGGCCACGGCAGGUCAGUAUGCCCCGAAUCCCCCGGGCCGCACGCGACGUUCAAUGGUGGGGACAGUGGGCUGCGACCCCGAAAGGGGAAGCCAAUCCCUAAACCCCACCUCAGUAGGGAUCGAGGGUUGCAACUCGCCCUCGUGAACGCGGAAUCCCUAGUAACCGCCCGUUACCACCGGGCGGUGAAUACGUCCCCGCUCCUUGCACACACCGCCCGUCAA